UACGUAGGGUCCGAGCGUUGUCCGGAUUUAUUGGGCGUAAAGAGCUCGUAGGCGGUUCCGUAAGUCGGAUGUGAAAACUCGGGGCUCAACCCCGAGACGCCAUCCGAUACUGCGGUGACUUGAGUCUGGUAGGGGAACACGGAAUUCCUGGUGUAGCGGUGAAAUGCGCAGAUAUCAGGAGGAACAUCGAUGGCGAAGGCAGUGUUCUGGGCCAGUACUGACGCUGAGGAGCGAAAGCGUGGGGAGCAAACAGG
rnacentral:rRNA from 1 species